rnacentral:rRNA from 1 species
UCGAUCCUACGGGGAGGCAGCAGUGGGGGAAGUAUUGCACAAUGGGCGCAAGCCUGAUGCAGCCAUGCCGCGUGUGUGAAGAAGGACCUUCGGGUUGUAAAGCACUUUCAGUCGUGAGGAAGGUAGUGUAGUUAAUAGCUGCAUUAUUUGACGUUAGCGACAGAAGAAGCACCGGCUAACUCCGUGCCAGCAGCCGCGGUAAUACGGAGGGUGCGAGCGUUAAUCGGAAUUACUGGGCGUAAAGCGCAUGCAGGUGGUUUGGUUAAGUUCAGAUGUGAAAGACCCGGGGCUCAACCUCGGAAUUGCAUUUGAAACUGGCAGACUAGAGUACUGUAGAGGGGGGUAGGAAUUUCAGGUGUAGCGGUGAAAUAGCGUAGAGAUCUGAAGGAAUACCGGUGGCGAAGGCGGCCCCCUGGACAGAUACUGACACUCAGAUGCGAAAGCGUGGGGAGCAAACAGGAUUAGAUACCCCUGGUAG